GAUGGUAGUGUAGUGGACUACCAUGGUUGUAACGGGUGACGGGGAAUUAGGGUUCGAUUCCGGAGAGGGAGCCUGAGAGAUGGCUACUACUUCCAAGGAAGGCAGCAGGCGCGCAAAUUACCCUAAUGGUCAAAGACCGAGGUAGUGACAAUAAAUAUCGAUGUUGGUGAUUCGUCAUUGACAAUCGGAAUGAACUGAAGUUAAAUCUCUCUAUGAGUACCAAUUGGAGGGCAAGUCUGGUGCCAGCAGCCGCGGUAAUUCCAGCUCCAAGAGCGUAUAUUCAAUUUGCUGCAGUUAAAAAGCUCGUAGUCGGAUUUCUGGGCACUUGUUUGGGUUGGUUGGCUCACGCUUUCCUUCCCUUUCAUUGCCUUCUCCAUGUUUGUGUUGCAUUCUGCCCUUCACUGGGUGGUUUGUUUACCUUACAUCGUUGACCGUGCUUUAAUUCGCGUGUUCAAAGCAGGCUUUUAUGCCUUGAAGAGUAUAGCAUGGGAUCAUGAAAUAGGACCCUCUUUUAUGUUUGUUGACUUUUGAAUUGAGGGUAAUGAUAAAUAGGGGUGGUCGGGGGUGUACGGAUUCCGUGGCGAGAGGUGAAAUUCUUGGACCCACGGAGGACGAACUAAAGCGAAAGCAUUCACCAAGGACAUACCCAUUGAUCAAGAACGAAAGAUAGGGGAUCGAAGAUGAUCAGAGACCGUUGUAGUCCUAUCCCUAAACGAUACCGACCGAGGAUCGGAGGGUGUCUAUUUGUGCGACUCCUUCGGGACUCUGUGGGAAACCAUUGAGUCUUUGGGUUCCGGGGGGAGUACGGUCGCAAGGCUGAAACUUAAAGGAAUUGACGGAAGGGCACACCAGGAGUGGAUCCUGCGGCUUAAUUCGACUCAACACGGGAAAACUCACCAGGUCCGACAUAGCAAGGAUUGACAGAUCGAUAGCUCUUUCUUGAUUCUAUGAGUGGUGGUGCAUGGCCGUUCUUAGUUGGUGGAGUGAUUUGUCUGGUUGAUUCCGAUAACGAACGAGACCUCAACCUGCUAAAUAGGAAGUUUGAUGGGGGAAAUUUGGGUGAAGGGGUUAUUGUAUUGGGACUUCGGUUCCUUUCGAUUUCUUUGGAUCCUUUUUCCAUCAUUCUUGCCUUCUUAGAGGGACUGACUGCUCUUUGAAGCAGUAGGAAGCUUGAGGCAAUAACAGGUCUGUGAUGCCCUUGGAUGUUCUGGGCUGCACGCGCGCUACACUGACUGAAGCAGAAAGUUUAUCCUUGGCCAAUAGGUCUGGGUAAUCUUAUUAAAUUCAGUCGUGAUGGGGACAGAGCCUUGCAAUUAUGGCUCUCGAACGAGGAAUUCCUAGUAAGUGCAAUUCAUCAAAUUGCGCUGAUUACGUCCCUGCCCUUUGUACACACCGCCCGUCGCUCCUACCGAUUGAACGAUCCGGUGAAGUAUUGAGAGAUUUGGAGGGCUUGCUCUCUGUUUUCAAACUUUACUAAACCAUAUUGUUUAGAGGAAGGAGAAGUCGUAACAAGGUC
rnacentral:rRNA from 1 species